GGAUUAUUGUUGAAGUUGGAGGUAUAUUUAGAGUAAAAAAGGAGGUUUUAACUAGUGAGAAUUUGAGAUAAGCAGUGGGGACUGUACUUGACAGUUGAGAGUGUAUUAGGAGACUUAUUAGGACUUGUCUAAGUUGUCAAAUGAGAAAAGUUUAGUGUAGAAUGAUUGGUGUUGUUUUUAGGAUGAGUGAUUAAGUGAUUUUGGUCAAAAAUGAGAUUUUGUAUGGCGAGAUUUUGAAACAACAAGUUUGGGAGUAAACUCAGAUGUUGGAGUGAGUUGUUUAGUGUAUUAUGACUUGUCCAUGAUUUUAGUUUGUAGAGUUUUGAGUUAUAAAGUGUAGAUUUGAGGUUGGGUACUUUUUGAGUUGUCAUAUAGGUUUAAUGCACUUAGUUCGGGUCUAAUGAUCAAAGAG
rnacentral:lncRNA from 1 species